UACGUAGGGCGCAAGCGUUGUCCGGAAUUAUUGGGCGUAAAGAGCUCGUAGGCGGUUUGUCGCGUCUGCUGUGAAAACCCAAGGCUCAACCUUGGGCUUGCAGUGGGUACGGGCAGACUAGAGUGCGGUAGGGGUGACUGGAAUUCCUGGUGUAGCGGUGGAAUGCGCAGAUAUCAGGAGGAACACCGGUGGCGAAGGCGGGUCUCUGGGCCGAUAUCGACGCUGAGGAGCGAAAGCGUGGGGAGCGAACAGG
rnacentral:rRNA from 1 species